UGGGGAAUCUUGGACAAUGGGGGCAACCCUGAUCCAGCGAUGCCGCGUGAGCGAAGAAGGCCUUAGGAUUGUAAAGCUCUUUCGCCCGCGACGAUGAUGACGGUAGCGGGAGAAGAAGCCCCGGCUAACUCCGUGCCAGCAGCCGCGGUAAUACGGAGGGGGCUAGCGUUGUCCGGAAUUACUGGGCGUAAAGCGCGCGUAGGCGGUCCACCAAGUCGGGGGUGAAAGCCCGGGGCUCAACCCCGGAAUGUCCUCCGAGACUGUUGGACUGGAGUUCGGGAGAGGAGAGCGGAAUUCCCAGUGUAGAGGUGAAAUUCGUAGAUAUUGGGAAGAACACCGGUGGCGAAGGCGGCUCUCUGGCCCGCAACUGACGCUGAGGCGCGAAAGCGUGGGGAGCAAACA
rnacentral:rRNA from 1 species